AGUGAACGCUGGCGGGAGGCCUAACACAUGCAAGUCGAACGGCAGCACAGUAAGAGCUUGCUCUUACGGGUGGCGAGUGGCGGACGGGUGAGGAAUACAUCGGAAUCUACUUUUUCGUGGGGGAUAACGUAGGGAAACUUACGCUAAUACCGCAUACGCCCUACGGGUGAAAGCAGGGGAUCUUCGGACCUUGCGCGCUUGACUGAGCCGAUGUCGGAUUAGCUAGUUGGCGGGGUAAAGGCCCACCAAGGCGACGAUCCGUAGCUGGUCUGAGAGGAUGAUCAGCCACACUGGAACUGAGACACGGUCCAGACUCCUACGGGAGGCAGCAGUGGGGAAUAUUGGACAAUGGGCGCAAGCCUGAUCCAGCCAUACCGCGUGGGUGAAGAAGGCCUUCGGGUUGUAAAGCCCUUUUGUUGGGAAAGAAAAGCAGCAGGUUAAUACCCCGCUGUUCUGACGGUACCCAAAGAAUAAGCACCGGCUAACUUCGUG
rnacentral:rRNA from 1 species